rnacentral:rRNA from 1 species
UGGGGAAUAUUGGACAAUGGGCGAAAGCCUGAUCCAGCCAUGCCGCGUGUGUGAAGAAGGCCUUUUGGUUGUAAAGCACUUUAAGCGAGGAGGAGGCUACUUGGAUUAAUACUCUAGGAUAGUGGACGUUACUCGCAGAAUAAGCACCGGCUAACUCUGUGCCAGCAGCCGCGGUAAUACAGAGGGUGCGAGCGUUAAUCGGAUUUACUGGGCGUAAAGCGUGCGUAGGCGGCUUUUUAAGUCGGAUGUGAAAUCCCUGUGAUUAACUUAGGAAUUGCAUUCGAUACUGGGAAGCUAGAGUAUGGGAGAGGAUGGUAGAAUUCCAGGUGUAGCGGUGAAAUGCGUAGAGAUCUGGAGGAAUACCGAUGGCGAAGGCAGCCAUCUGGCCUAAUACUGACGCUGAGGUACGAAAGCAUGGGGAGCAAACAGG